GCAGGUGUGGCGAAAUUGGCAUACGCGCCAGACUUAGGAUCUGGUGGGCAACCGUGCAGGUUCAAAUCCUGUCACCUGUACCA
rnacentral:tRNA from 1 species